GGAUGGAUCAUUCCUGAAAAACAAUAGCAACUCUUGCACCAAUUGAAUCCAACAUCCUGAUAACGGCAGCACAACAUCUAAAAACUUUCAGCGAUGGAUGACUCGACUCUCGCACCGAGGAAGGACGCAGCAAACCGCGAUAAGCAGUAUGACUUGCGAAAUUUCGAAAUACACCAGAUAUCUGAACGCAAAGGUACUUCUAGCCUACGCUUGGAGUAUGUUUGGCUCGGCAUCAUAUAGAAAUUCAGACUAUGUGUUUGAACUACAAGCAGCGUUCAAUCAUCGCUGAGUAGAUGAUGCUACCUGCUAAAGCUCCGUCAGUAGACUUCAGAGCUAAGCAGCAGGCAAUAUAACCCUUGUGAUCCGAGCUCAAACAAGAUUACCCGCUGAAUUUAAGCAUAUAAUUAAGCGGAGGAAAAGAAACCAACUGGGAUUCCCGUAGUAGUGGCGAACGAAGUGGGAAAAGCCCGCGAUGUAAAUCCACUAUGGUGGAGUUGUGCAUCAGGAUUUAGGCUAUUUGAGAAUGGGGAAUAAGAUGCCUGGAAAGGUACGCCAAAGAAGGUGACAGCCCUGUUGUUGCCCACAUUUCUCGAAAAACAGCCUUGAUCCAGUGAGUCACGCUCUUUGGGAGUAGAGCGCAAAAAGGGUGGUAACCUCCAUCCACGGCUAGAUAAUGGCGAGAGAUCGAUAGCAAACAAGUACCGUGAGGGAAAGUUGAAAAGCACUUCGAAAGGAGAGUUAAAAUACCUGAAAUCGCUGAGGGGGAAGCGGCUGUCCAUGACCGUAUGCAAACGGCUUGCCGGUGCAUUACUCGACAUCACUUGUUUUCUUUCAGAUCAGAGAUCGCUUCGGUUAUCUCUGGGGUCUGUAUCAUUAUGAGUGGGGAUCACCUCUGCAAAUUGUCGAGAGUGGCAUGUACAGACGACCCGUCUUGAAACACGGACCAAGGAGUUAAACGAAAGUGCGAGUGUAAGGGCGAUAAACCCAGACGCGCAGUGAAAGCAAAAGCUGUGAAUCACAAUGCAACAGCGGCCGACUGAAGUUCGAGCUUGAGCAUUUUCGUUUAGACCCGAAAGAUGGUGACCUAUACCUGAGUUGGGUGAAGCCAGGGGAAACUCUGGUGGAAGCUCGUAGCGAUACUGACGUGCAAAUCGUUCGUCAAACUUGGGCAUAGGGGCGAAAGACUAAUCGAACCAUCUAGUAGCUGGUUCCCUC
rnacentral:misc_RNA from 1 species